rnacentral:siRNA from 1 species
CCACAAAGGGUGUUGGUC